rnacentral:tRNA from 1 species
CAGAACGUAGCUAAAACAGAAUAGCAUCUCCCUUACACUGAGAAGGCCCCCGUGCAAAUCGGGUCGUACUGA